GAUGAACGCUGGCGGCGUGCCUAAUACAUGCAAUUCGAGCGAACAGACGAGGAGCUUGCUCCUCUGACGUUAGCGGCGGACGGGUGAGUAACACGUGGAUAACCUACCUAUAAGACUGGGAUAACUUCGGGAAACCGGAUCUAAUACCGUAUAAUAUAUUUAACCGCAUGGUUCAAUAUUGAUAUACGGUUUUUCUGUCUCUUAUAUAUGGAUCCGCGCCGCAUUAUCUAGUUGGUAAGGUAACGUCUUACCAAGGCAACGAUGCGUAGCCGACCUGAGAGGGUGAUCGGACAAACUGGAAAUGAGAAACGGUAAAGAAUAAUAAGGGAGGAAGAAGUAGGGAAUAGUCCGCAAUGGGCGAAAGAAUGACGGAGCAAAGCCGAGUGAGUGAUGAAGGUAUUCGGAUCGUAAAACUCUGUUAUUAGGGAAGAAAAAAUGUGUAAGUAACUAUGCACGUAUUGACGGUAACUAAUCAGAAAGCAACGGCUAACUACGUG
rnacentral:rRNA from 1 species